rnacentral:rRNA from 1 species
UUGGAGGGCAAGUCUGGUGCCAGCAGCCGCGGUAAUUCCAGCUCCAAUAGCGUAUAUUAAAGUUGUUGCAGUUAAAAAGCUCGUAGUUGAAUUUCGGGGUUCUACCGUUGGUCGGGCUAUUGUCUGUACUGGCGUGUAGAAUUUCUACCUUCUGGGGAACUAUCAUGUUAUUAAUUUAGCGUGGUAGGAAACCAGAACCUUUACCUUGAAAAAAUUAGAGUGUUCAAAGCAGGCUUAUGUCUGAAUACAUUAGCAUGGAAUAAUAAAAUAGGACGGUGGUCCUGUUUUGUUGGUUUCUGAAUCACCGUAAUGAUUAAUAGGGAUAGUUGGGGGCAUUAGUAUUCAAUUGUCAUAGGUGAAAUUCUUGGAUUUAUUGAAGACUAACUACUGCGAAAGCAUUUGCCAAGGAUGUUUUCAUUAAUCAAGAACGAAAGUUAGGGGAUCGAAGACGAUCAGAUACCGUCGUAGUCUUAACCAUAAACUAUGCCGACUAGGGAUCGGAUGAUGUUAAUUUUUUAAUGACUCAUUCGGCGCCUUACGGGAAAC